rnacentral:lncRNA from 1 species
AUGCAGAGUGUUGGAUUCAACAUCAGGCCUCAAAUAAUUGGAGGUUGGAAAACUGGCCAUUACAUUAAAAUCUAGAGGCCUUCAUUUUCUGAUGCUGAGUCCUUCAUUUGUCAAUUUUAGCUUUAUUUUAGUUGAGGAGAAUGCUUGGAGUCUGGCCAUAUAGGGCCUGAAUCCAAGCAAGUGAAGCCUUUGCAUGGUUGCGUAUUUAUGCAUUAUAUUGCUCACAAAGCUUGCAGGCAUUAGCAUUGAGUGAG